GCUGAGAUAGCUCUGUCGGUAGAACAUGAAACUCUUAAUCUCAGAGUUGUGGGUUUGAAGCCCAUGUUGGGCA